GGGUAAGGUUAACUGGCAGUUCGACGAAGCGAGAAUAAAGCGCAAGCAGAAGGUUCUUGACUGAGUGGCGGACGGGUGAGUAACGCGUGGAUAACCUGCCUUUCACAGGGGGAUAACAGCUGGAAACGGUUGCUAAUACCGCAUGAGCCUCUUUUGUCGCAUGACGGGAGAGGGAAAGAGAAAUCGGUGAGAGAUGGAUCCGCGUCCGAUUAGCUAGUUGGAGGGGUAACAGCCCACCAAGGCGACGAUCGGUAGCCGACCUGAGAGGGUGGACGGCCACAUUGGGACUGAGACACGGCCCAAACUCCUACGGGAGGCAGCAGUGGGGAAUAUUGCACAAUGGGGGAAACCCUGAUGCAGCAACGCCGCGUGAGUGAGGAAGUAUUUCGGUAUGUAAAGCUCUAUCAGCAGGGAAUAGAAAAGAAGGUACCUGAAAAAGAAGCCCCGGCUAACUACGUGCCAGCAGCCGCGGUAAUACGUAGGGAGCAAGCGUUAUCCGGAUCUACUGGGUGUAAAGGGCGUGUAGGCGGGCCUGUAAGUCAGAAGUGAAAUCUGGGGGCUUAACCCCCAAACUGCUUUUGAAACUGCGGGUCUUGAGUGAUGGAGAGGCGGGCGGAAUUCCCAGUGUAGCGGUGAAAUGCGUAGAUAUUGGGAGGAACACCAGUGGCGAAGGCGGCCUGCUGGACAUUAACUGACGCUGAGGCGCGAAAGCGUGGGGAGCAAACAGGAUUAGAUACCCUGGUAGUCCACGCCGUANACGAUGGAUACUAGGUGUGGGAGGUAUUGACCCCUUCCGUGCCGCAGUUAACACAAUAAGUAUCCCACCUGGGGAGUACGGCCGCAAGGUUGAAAACUCAAGGAAUUGACGGGGGCCCGCACAAGCAGUGGAGUAUGUGGUUUAAUUCGAAGCAACGCGAAGAACCUUACCAGGUCUUGACAUCCCUCGGACC
rnacentral:rRNA from 1 species